rnacentral:misc_RNA from 1 species
GAUGAAGAACGUAGCGAAAUGCGAUAAGUAGUGUGAAUUGCAGAAUUCAGUGAAUCAUCGAAUCUUUGAACGCACAUUGCGCCCCUUGGUAUUCCAUGGGACAUGCCUGUUCGAGCGUCAUCUACACCCUCAAGCUCUGCUUGGUGUUGGGCGUCUGUCCCGCCUUUGCGCGUGGACUCGCCCCAAAUUCAUUGGCAGCGGUCCUUGCCUCCUCUCGCGCAGCACAUUUGCGCUUCUCGAGGUGCGCGGGCCGCGUCCACGAAGCAACUAUUACCGUCUUUGACCUCGGAUCAGGUAGGGAUACCCGCUGAACUUAAGCAUAUCAAUAAGCGGAGGA